rnacentral:rRNA from 1 species
GAUGAACGCUGGCGGCGUGCUUAACACAUGCAAGUCGAACGGAAAGGCUCCGCUUGCAGGGGUACUCGAGUGGCGAACGGGUGAGUAACACGUGGGUGAUCUGCCCUGCACUUCGGGAUAAGCCUGGGAAACUGGGUCUAAUACCGGAUAGGACCACAUUUUGGAUGGUGUGGUGGAAAGUUUUUCGGUGUGGGAUGAGCUCGCGGCCUAUCAGCUUGUUGGUGGGGUAAUGGCCUACCAAGGCGUCGACGGGUAGCCGGCCUGAGAGGGUGUACGGCCACAUUGGGACUGAGAUACGGCCCAGACUCCUACGGGAGGCAGCAGUGGGGAAUAUUGCACAAUGGGCGCAAGCCUGAUGCAGCGACGCCGCGUGGGGGAUGACGGCCUUCGGGUUGUAAACUCCUUUCGCUAGGGACGAAGCGUUUUUGUGACGGUACCUGGAGAAGAAGCACCGGCUAACUACGUG